rnacentral:rRNA from 1 species
GACGAACGCUGGCGGCGUGCCUAAUACAUGCAAGUCGAACGAACCGCGACUAGGUGCUUGCACUUGGUCAAGGUGAGUGGCGAACGGGUGAGUAACACGUGGGUAACCUACCUCAUAGUGGGGGAUAACAGUCGGAAACGACUGCUAAUACCGCAUAGGACAUGGGAUCACAUGAUUCCGUGAGGAAAGGUGGCGCAAGCUAUCGCUAAGAGAUGGACCCGCGGUGCAUUAGCUAGUUGGUAGGGUAAGGGCCUACCAAGGCGAUGAUGCAUAGCCGACCUGAGAGGGUGAUCGGCCACAUUGGGACUGAGACACGGCCCAAACUCCUACGGGAGGCAGCAGUAGGGAAUCUUCCGCAAUGGACGCAAGUCUGACGGAGCAACGCCGCGUGAGUGAAGAAGGUCUUCGGAUCGUAAAGCUCUGUUGUUAG